rnacentral:rRNA from 1 species
AUGGGUGGCAGCCUCUUCACCAUCGACGGUGAGCCAUGCCGCCGACAACAUGCGAAAGCCAAGAGCAUGCUCAGCAGCCCGCGGAUCGUUGCCAGUAUGGCGGCCUACCUCUGUGGCAAGGUGGAGAACAACCUCCUCCCUUUGUUCACCCGCAUGGCGAUCGCCGACACUUCAUUCGACAUGCAAGAAUUGAUGUCGAGGCUUAUGUUUGACCUGGCUGCUACGCCUCUCUUCGGUGUGGAUCCAGGGCUCCUAUCCCCAGACAUGCCACCCAUGGACGCAGCGGUUGCCCUGGACAUGGUGAUGGAGGUGGGAUUUUUUAGGCUCAUGAUGCCAGCUUCUUGUUGGAAGUCGAUGAGGUGGCUAAAUAUCGGCCCUGAGAGAAAGCUUGACACGGCACGCAUGGUGCUACGAGAGCUCGUCCGGGAGAUGAUGGAGAAGAGGAAGAUCACCACAUGUCAUUUUGGACAUGGCAAGGAACAAGAGAGUGUGGAUAUUAUUUCUUCCUUCCUCGAAGACCCAGACUACGCCAAUGUUGACUUGCUCCAUGCGGUGAUCAUUAGCUACAUGCUCGCUGCGAGGGACACAAUUGCCACAACCCUAACAUGGAUCUUCUACAACCUUGCCCAAAACCCUAACAUCGUGUCAAUCAUCCGCAACGAACUUUCACCCAUUGCAUCACGCAAAGUAGCGGUAGGAGUGUGUACCCCAGUGAUCUUUGAGCCAGAAGAGACCAAAUCUCUAGUAUAUUUGACAGCCACCUUGUACGAGACUCUCAGGCUGUACCCACCAGCGCCUGUCUUGCGCAAGACGGUGGCCGUAGAUGACAUCAUGCCGAGUGGCCAUGAGGUGCAUGCCGGUGACACCAUUUUUAUUUCUGUCCACUCCAUGGGGAGAAUGGAGGCUGUGUGGGGUAAAGACUGCCUCGACUAUAACCCACAUAGGUGGCUCUCGGAUGAUGGCAACAACCUGAGAUAUGUACCAUCUCACAAAUUCUUGGCAUUCAACUCAGGCCCGAGAAUGUGCCUCGGCAAGGACAUUGCAGUUAUGCAAAUGAACACUGUCAUUGCUACAACGGUGUGGAACUUCGAUGUGCAACUGGUGAAAGGGCAGAGGAUACAGCCCAAGCCGUCCAUUAUACUGGAGAUGGAAAAUGGGCUCAUUGUUAAGUUGAAGAAGCGAGAAAUGUAA